rnacentral:rRNA from 1 species
GACGAACGCUGGCGGCGUGCUUAACACAUGCAAGUCGAACGGAAAGGCCCUUCGGGGUACUCGAGUGGCGAACGGGUGAGUAACACGUGGGUGAUCUGCCCUGCACUUUGGGAUAAGCCUGGGAAACUGGGUCUAAUACCGAAUAGGACCACGCGCUUCAUGGUGUGUGGUGGAAAGCUUUUGCGGUGUGGGAUGGGCCCGCGGCCUAUCAGCUUGUUGGUGGGGUAAUGGCCUACCAAGGCGACGACGGGUAGCCGGCCUGAGAGGGUGACCGGCCACACUGGGACUGAGAUACGGCCCAGACUCCUACGGGAGGCAGCAGUGGGGAAUAUUGCACAAUGGGCGCAAGCCUGAUGCGGCGACGCCGCGUGAGGGAUGACGGCCUUCGGGUUGUAAACCUCUUUCACCAGGGACGAAGCGUAAGUGACGGUACCUGGAGAAGAAGCACCGGCCAACUACGU